rnacentral:rRNA from 1 species
UACAGAGGGGGCAAGCGUUAUUCGGAAUUAUUGGGCGUAAAGGGCGCGUAGGCGGCCUUCUAAGUCGAACGUGAAAUCCCUGGGCUCAACCCAGGAACUGCGUCCGAUACUGGAAGGCUUGAAUCCGGGAGAGGGAUGCGGAAUUCCAGGUGUAGCGGUGAAAUGCGUAGAUAUCUGGAGGAACACCGGUGGCGAAGGCGGCAUCCUGGACCGGUAUUGACGCUGAGGCGCGAAAGCCAGGGGAGCAAACGGG